AGCGAACGCUGGCGGCAGGCCUAACACAUGCAAGUCGAACGAACUCUUCGGAGUUAGUGGCGGACGGGUGAGUAACACGUGGGAACGUGCCUUUAGGUUCGGAAUAACUCAGGGAAACUUGUGCUAAUACCGAAUGUGCCCUUCGGGGGAAAGAUUUAUCGCCUUUAGAGCGGCCCGCGUCUGAUUAGCUAGUUGGUGAGGUAAAGGCUCACCAAGGCGACGAUCAGUAGCUGGUCUGAGAGGAUGAUCAGCCACAUUGGGACUGAGACACGGCCCAAACUCCCACGGGAGGCAACAGUGGGGAAUCCUGCGGAAUGGGCGAAAGCCUUACGGAGCCAAGGCGGGGUGAUGGAUAAGGUCUUAAGAUUUUAAAAAUCUUUCCCCCGGGACGAUAAUGACGGUACCCGGAGAAGAAGCCCCGGCUAACUUCGUG
rnacentral:rRNA from 1 species